GAGGGCACAUCAACCCCGCGGUCACGCUCGGGCUGUUCUUGGCGCGGAAGGUGUCGCUGAUACGGGCGUUGCUGUACAUGGUGGCGCAGUGCUUGGGAGCCAUCGUCGGGGUGGGGAUCGUGAAGGGGAUCAUGAAGCACCAGUAUAACUCCCUCGGCGGCGGAGCCAACAUGGUCGCCGCCGGCUACUCCAAGGGUACCGCCCUCGGGGCCGAGAUCAUCGGCACCUUCGUCCUCGUCUACACCGUCUUCUCUGCCACCGACCCCAAGCGCAGCGCUCGCGACUCGCACGUCCCCGUACGUACCAAAAAGACGACACGC
rnacentral:lncRNA from 1 species